rnacentral:misc_RNA from 1 species
AAGUCGUAACAAGGUUUCCGUAGGUGAACCUGCGGAAGGAUCAUUAACACUAAUGAAAUCCAAAACCUUUUGGAUCAACCCAACCUUAGCGAACCGUUCGUUUUUUUUCCCUUUGCCCAUUUUUUUUAUGAAACGCAAACAAAUCUGAUGUAAAGUGUCUGAUUCUUAUUCCCGGUUUUCUUAAUCGAAAGCUGGAAUCAAAAAUCUAACGCAAUACAACUCUUAACAACGGAUAUCUUGGCUCUC